rnacentral:rRNA from 1 species
GUUGAACGCUGGCGGCAGGCUUAACACAUGCAAGUCGAGCGGAGAUGAGGUGCUUGCACCUUAUCUUAGCGGCGGACGGGUGAGUAAUGCUUAGGAAUCUGCCUAUUAGUGGGGGACAACAUUCCGAAAGGAAUGCUAAUACCGCAUACGUCCUACGGGAGAAAGCAGGGGAUCUUCGGACCUUGCGCUAAUAGAUGAGCCUAAGUCGGAUUAGCUAGUUGGUGGGGUAAAGGCCUACCAAGGCGACGAUCUGUAGCGGGUCUGAGAGGAUGAUCCGCCACACUGGGACUGAGACACGGCCCAGACUCCUACGGGAGGCAGCAGUGGGGAAUAUUGGACAAUGGGGGGAACCCUGAUCCAGCCAUGCCGCGUGUGUGCAGAAGGCCUUAUGGUUGUAAAGCACUUUAAGCGAGGAGGAGGCUACUGAGACUAAUACUCUUGGAUAGUGGACGUUACUCGCAGAAUAAGCACCGGCUAACUCUGUGCCAGCCGCCGCGGUAAAAC